rnacentral:rRNA from 1 species
UGCCAGCCGCCGCGGUAACACGGGGGGCGCAAGCGUUAUUCGGAAUUAUUGGGCGUAAAGGGCGCGCAGGCGGUCUUGUCCGUCAGGUGUGAAAGCUCGGGGCUCAACCCCGGAAGUGCACUUGAAACAGCAAGACUUGAAUACGGUAGAGGAGAGAGGAAUUCCUGGUGUAGAGGUGAAAUUCGUAGAUAUCAGGAGGAACAACGGUGGCGAAGGCGGUCUUCUGGACGAUAACUGACGCUGAGGUGCGAAAGCGUGGGGAGCAAACAGGAUUAGAUA